GGGUGAGUAACACGUGAGCAACCUGCCCCUGACUCUGGGAUAAGCGCUGGAAACGGCGUCUAAUACUGGAUAUGUCCCAUCACCGCAUGGUGUGUGGGUGGAAAGAUUUUUCGGUUGGGGAUGGGCUCGCGGCCUAUCAGCUUGUUGGUGAGGUAAUGGCUCACCAAGGCGUCGACGGGUAGCCGGCCUGAGAGGGUGACCGGCCACACUGGGACUGAGACACGGCCCAGACUCCUACGGGAGGCAGCAGUGGGGAAUAUUGCACAAUGGGCGGAAGCCUGAUGCAGCAACGCCGCGUGAGGGAUGACGGCCUUCGGGUUGUAAACCUCUUUUAGCAGGGAAGAAGCGAGAGUGACGGUACCUGCAGAAAAAGCACCGGCUAACUACGUGCCAGCAGCCGCGGUAAUACGUAGGGUGCAAGCGUUAUCCGGAAUUAUUGGGCGUAAAGAGCUCGUAGGCGGUCUGUCGCGUCUGCUGUGAAAUUCCGAGGCUCAACCUCGGGCUUGCAGUGGGUACGGGCAGACUAGAGUGCGGUAGGGGAGAUUGGAAUUCCUGGUGUAGCGGUGGAAUGCGCAGAUAUCAGGAGGAACACCGAUGGCGAAGGCAGAUCUCUGGGCCGUAACUGACGCUGAGGAGCGAAAGGGUGGGGAGCAAACAGGCUUAGAUACCCUGGUAGUCCACCCCGUAAACGUUGGGAACUAGUUGUGGGGUCCUUUCCACGGAUUCCGUGACGCAGCUAACGCAUUAAGUUCCCCGCCUGGGGAGUACGGCCGCAAGGCUAAAACUCAAAGGAAUUGACGGGGACCCGCACAAGCGGCGGAGCAUGCGGAUUAAUUCGAUGCAACGCGAAGAACCUUACCAAGGCUUGACAUACACGAGAACGGGCCAGAAAUGGUCAACUCUUUGGACACUCGUGAACAGGUGGUGCAUGGUUGUCGUCAGCUCGUGUCGUGAGAUGUUGGGUUAAGUCCCGCAACGAGCGCAACCCUCGUUCUAUGUUGCCAGCACGUAAUGGUGGGAACUCAUGGGAUACUGCCGGGGUCAACUCGGAGGAAGGUGGGGAUGACGUCAAAUCAUCAUGCCCCUUAUGUCUUGGGCUUCACGCAUGCUACAAUGGCCGGUACAAUGGGCUGCAAUACCGUGAGGUGGAGCGAAUCCCAAAAAGCCGGUCCCAGUUCGGAUUGAGGUCUGCAACUCGACCUCAUGAAGUCGGAGUCGCUAGUAAUCGCAGAUCAGCAACGCUGCGGUGAAUACGUUCCCGGGUCUUGUACACACCGCCCGUCAAGUCAUGAAAGUCGGUAACACCUGAAGCCGGUGGCCUA
rnacentral:rRNA from 1 species